rnacentral:misc_RNA from 1 species
UCGUGGAGCUUCGGCUCCUUCGAGGGAGAAACCCUUGCCUUUUCGAGCCCCUGUUUGUUUCCUCGGCCAGGCCCCGCCUGCCAACGGGGGACCAUUUAAAACUCUUGCAAUCAACCUGAACAAAAAUCGUCUGGAACAAAAAAAACUAAAUCA